rnacentral:misc_RNA from 1 species
ACCAUAUGGCAGCUGAUGUGAGCUCUCUAUUUAGGGUUUUGACUGGAUACAAGGAUCAACGGACGGUUGCUAACGAGCCUGUUGCUGGAAAAUCAACGGCUCUUAUGACCAGGGAUUUGCUUGGUGGUGGUGGUGGUGAUGCUGAGGACGAGUCUCAAGAAUUGGACCUCGACUCGCAAGUGCCCACUGGCUGGGAAAAGCGCCUAGACUUGAAGUCAGGGAAGGUUUAUUUACAACGAUGCAAUUCCUCAAGUUCAGCUUCACCUUCUCCUUCAACAUCAUCAGAUCUCAGGCAACAAACCAAUCAAACAGUGGCAAAGCUUCAAGAUUUAAACUUCCCUCCAUCACCUUCCAAGAUCACACUAAAUCUUUUUGAUGAAACAAACUUAGACCUUAAGUUAGUCUCGUCACCGUCAGGAACAACUACUACUUCAU